GAUGAAGAACGCAGCGAAAUGCGAUAAGUAAUGUGAAUUGCAGAAUUCAGUGAAUCAUCGAAUCUUUGAACGCACAUUGCGCCCGCCAGUAUUCUGGCGGGCAUGCCUGUCUGAGCGUCAUUUCAACCCUCAUGCCCCUAGGGCGUGGUGUUGGGGAUCGGCCAAAGCCCGCGAGGGACGGCCGGCCCCUAAAUCUAGUGGCGGACCCGUCGUGGCCUCCUCUGCGAAGUAGUGAUAUUCCGCAUCGGAGAGCGAUGAGCCCCUGCCGUUAAACCCCCAACUUUCCAAGGUUGACCUCAGAUCAGGUAGGAAUACCCGCUGAACUUAAGCAUAUCAUUAAGCGGAGGA
rnacentral:misc_RNA from 1 species